rnacentral:rRNA from 1 species
CCUACGGGCGGCAGCAGUAGGGAAUAUUGCUCAAUGGGGGAAACCCUGAACCAGCAACGCCGCGUGGAGGAUGAAGGUUUUCGGAUUGUAAACUCCUUUUGUUAGAGAAGAUAAUGACGGUAUCUAACGAAUAAGCACCGGCUACCUCCGUGCCAGCAGCGGCGGUAAUAGGGAGGGUGCAAGAGUUACUCGGAAGCACUGGGCGUAAAGGGCGCGUAGGCGGGAUAACAAGUCAGAGGGUAAAUCCUAGGGCUUAAACACAGAAUGGCAGUUGAAACUGUUAUACUAGAGUAGGGGAGAGGUACGCGGAAGGCGUGGUGUAGCGGUAAAAUGCGUAGAGAUCACGCGGAAUAGUGAGUGAGAAGGGGACGUACUGGAACCAAACUGACGCUGAGGCGCGAAAGCGUGGGGAGCAAACAGGAUUAGAUACCCGAGUAGUC